rnacentral:rRNA from 1 species
AGUAAAAGUCGUAACAAGGUUUCCGUAGGUGAACCUGCGGAAGGAUCAUUACAGAAUGAAAAGUGCUUAACUGCAUUUUUUCUUACACAUGUGUUUUUCUUUUUUUGAAAACUUUGCUUUGGUAGGCCUUCUAUAUGGGGCCUGCCAGAGAUUAAACUCAACCAAAUUUUAUUUAAUGUCAACCGAUUAUUUAAUAGUCAAAACUUUCAACAACGGAUCUCUUGGUUCUCGCAUCGAUGAAGAACGCAGCGAAAUGCGAUAAGUAAUAUGAAUUGCAGAUAUUCGUGAAUCAUCGAAUCUUUGAACGCACAUUGCGCCCUUUGGUAUUCCAAAGGGCAUGCCUGUUUGAGCGUCAUUUCUCCCUCAAACCCUCGGGUUUGGUGUUGAGCGAUACGCUGGGUUUGCUUGAAAGAAAGGCGGAGUAUAAACUAAUGGAUAGGUUUUUUCCACUCAUUGGUACAAACUCCAAAACUUCUUCCAAAUUCGACCUCAAAUCAGGUAGGACUACCCGCUGAACUUAAGCAUAUCAAUAAGCGGAGGA